rnacentral:rRNA from 1 species
AUCUUGCACAAUGGGGGCAACCCUGAUGCAGCGACGCCGCGUGAGCGAUGAAGCCCUUCGGGGCGUAAAGCUCUUUCGACCGGAACGAUAAUGACGGUACCGGGAGAAGAAGCUGCGGCUAACUACGUGCCAGCAGCCGCGGUAAUACGUAGGCAGCAAGCGUUGUUCGGAGUUACUGGGCGUAAAGAGUGCGUAGGCGGUUUUCUAAGUUCGGUGUGAAAUCUCCCGGCUUAACUGGGAGGGUGCGCCGAAGACUGGGAAGCUGGAGUGUGGGAAAGGCAGGCGGAAUUCCUGGUGUAGCGGUGAAAUGCGUAGAUAUCAGGAGCAACACCGGCGGUGUAGACGGCUUGCUGGACCAUAACUGACGCUGAGGCACGAAAGCGUGGGUAGCAAACA